ACCUCGAACUCUCCGAAAACCAGACACUUUUUACUCUCGGCUUCUGCCCCGACGAACUACCCCAAUGGCAGAAAGCAACCUACCAGAAAUUUUGAAACCUUUUUACCAGCGAGCUGCUGAGGCUGAGGCUCGAUUGGAAAGACUUGAAGCUGCUAUUGCUAGUGACAGAAAUGCUGGGAAUGAUGAAUUAUUGAAUAAGGUUCGUGAGCUUCAGUCAAAGCUUGAAAAUGUGAAAGCAGAACAAGCUUUAGAAAGAGAAAAGGCUCAGAAAGAGCUAAAGCAGCUAAAUGCAGAAAAUGCCAAGCUCCAAUAUCGUGUAACACAUCUUGUUCGAGCCGUAAAGGAUGCUGAUUGUAUGUUAAAAUCUAAGUGAGGGACUUUUGGGACUUAGCUCCAUUUAUAUCUAUCAGCUUGGAAUGUGCAAGAUGGGAAGAAUGAUAUUCCAUUUUGUGAGCUGAAAGUGUACCAUGAUCAAAAGCAGCAGAUAAACUGCAAUGGUUUAUUUUUUAGCUUUCUUCAAGUUUGUGUACCUGCAAAUGGUCUCUGUUUGGACUACUAAAUGGAGGUAAGUCUCAGAUUGUUUUGGCUUUUGAUUUCAAAAUGAUAAGGUAAACCCCCAAUUCAUCACUCAGUUGAAAACUCCCAAUCCUGACAAUACUCUCAUUCUGUAAAUUUGUCUUUAAGCUGUAACAUGGAAUUCAUCCAGAAUCAGAUUGAUACUUUCUGAAAGCUAAAGGAGAGCAAGUGCUGACUGUAUCAAUCCUUGAGAGAAAACGGUAAUGGCUUUGUAACUUCCCUGAUACUGCUAAAAAUGGCUUUGUAACUUCCCUGAUAUUGCUAAACAACAGAUUAGUUUAGAAGAUCGAUCUGAGAGAAAAAGGUGAUGCCCCUGGUUUUUCUGUAGCUGCUGGUGAUUUGUCAAACACGAAAAGAGUUGCUUCUGCAACUGCUACUUAUCAUAAGCCAACUCAAUAGAUUUGCUGAUAAGGGUUGGGGGAGUUGCUACCACAUAAUCUGCUGAAUUGCCACCUGCCUGCAGUUGAAUUAUAACCACAAAAAGUGUGGAAUUUCACAGAAUCCAAGAAUGCACUAUCGUGAAUAAUAUCCAUAUGCAGUUUUCCAAGCGAGUAAAUCACCAGCAACAUUAUUGCCCAGUCAAAUAUCAAGCUCCAUGGGGAAAAAAGGCUAACAGAGUACCCAAAAUCAUCAAAAUUUUGUCUAGAUGAGUCACACUUGCACAUUCUUAAAGUUUACAAUGGCAUUGUCUGUAAAAUGGCUAAAAAACCGAAGCAAAAAUAAGUUCAUGCAACUUCUAUAGCUACUGGAAGCAUAUUGCACUAUCAGACUUGUUCCUUUUCUAAAGUGACUCCUCAAGAAGCUUGAUCAAGUCACUUUUGUUGA